rnacentral:rRNA from 1 species
GACGAACGCUGGCGGCGUGGAUUAGGCAUGCAAGUCGAACGGUAUCAUCCUUUCGGGGGUGAGAGAGUGGCGAACUGGUGAGUAACACGUAGGUUAUCUACCCUCAAGACGGGGACAACCCAGGGAAACUUGGGCUAAUACCGGAUGUGAGCAACUUUUAGUUGUUUGAAAGGUGGCGUAAGCUGUCGCUUGGGGAUGAGCCUGCGUCCUAUUAGUUAGUUGGUGAGGUAACGGCUCACCUAGGCAAUGAUAGGUAGGCGGCCUUAACGGGUGGUCGCCCACACUGGGAUUGAGAUACGGCCCAGACUCCUACGGGAGGCAGCAGUCGAGAAUAGUCUACAAUGGUCGGAAGACUGAUAGUGCGACGCCGCGUGAACGAUGAAUCCCUUCGGGUGUAAAGUUCUUUUAUAUGUGAGCAGUGCUUCUUAUAUUAACAGUAUGGGGAAGAGAUAUUAGCAUAUGAAUAAGCAACGGCUAACUCCGUGCCAGCAGCCGCGGUAAG